AUUGAACGCUGGCAGCAUGCUUUACACAUGCAAGUCGAACGGUAACAGGGAGCUUGCUCCGCUGACGAGUGGCGAACGGGUGAGUAAUGCAUCGGAACGUACCCAGUCGUGGGGGAUAACGUAGCGAAAGUUACGCUAAUACCGCAUACGUCCUGAGGGAGAAAGAGGGGGACCGAAAGGCCUCGCGCGAUUGGAGCGGCCGAUGUCGGAUUAGCUAGUUGGUAGGGUAAAGGCCUACCAAGGCGACGAUCCGUAGCGGGUCUGAGAGGAUGAUCCGCCACACUGGGACUGAGACACGGUCCAGACUCCUACGGGAGGCAGCAGUGGGGAAUUUUGGACAAUGGGCGCAAGCCUGAUCCAGCCAUGCCGCGUGAGUGAAGAAGGCCUUCGGGUUGUAAAGCUCUUUCAGGUGGAAAGAAAACGCAUGGGUCAAUACCCUGUGUGGAUGACGGUACCAUCAGAAGAAGCACCGGCUAACU
rnacentral:rRNA from 1 species